rnacentral:rRNA from 1 species
GAUGAACGCUGGCGGCGUGCCUAAUACAUACAAGUAGAACGCAGUUGCGAACGGGUGAGUAACGCGUAGGUAACUGCCUCAUAGCGGGGGAGAACUAUUGGAAACGAUAGCUAAUACCGCAUACUGUGAGAUGGACCUGCGUUGUGUUAGCUAGUUGGUGAGGUAAAGGCUCACCAAGGCGACGAUACAGAGCCGACCUGAGAGGGUGAUCGGUACGACUGAGACUGAGGCGAGACCGAGACUCCUACGGGAGGCCGCAGUAGGGAAUCUUGGGCAAUGGGCGGAAGUCUAGCCGAGCAACGCCGCGGCAAUGAAGAAGGUUUUCGGAUCGUAAAGCUCUGUUGUUAUGGGAGCGGUAACUAACCAGAAAGGGACGGCUAACUACGUGCCAGCAGCCGCGGUAAUUC